rnacentral:rRNA from 1 species
AAACUUAAAGGAAUUGACGGGACCCGCACAAGCGGUGGAUGAUGUGGUUUAAUUCGAUGCAACGCGAAAACCUUACCCACCUUUGACAUGUACGGAAUCCUUUAGAGAUAGAGGAGUGCUCGAAAGAGAACCGUAACACAGGUGCUGCAUGGCUGUCGUCAGCUCGUGUCGUGAGAUGUUGGGUUAAGUCCCGCAACGAGCGCAACCCUUGUCAUUAGUUGCUACAUUCAGUUGGGCACUCUAAUGAGACUGCCGGUGACAAACCGGAGGAAGGUGGGGAUGACGUCAAGUCCUCAUGGCCCUUAUAGGUGGGGCUACACACGUCAUACAAUGGAUGGUACAAAGGGUCGCCAACCCGCGAGGGGGAGCCAAUCCCAUAAAGCCAUUCGUAGUCCGGAUCGCAGUCUGCAACUCGACUGCGUGAAGUCGGAAUCGCUAGUAAUCGUGGAUCAGAAUGUCACGGUGAAUACGUUCCCGGGUCUU